GUWAAAAAAGUAUGACUCUAUAAAUUUUAGACCGUGAGGCCAAACUUGGCAUGUGAUACCUUUUCGGAAAGCCCAAAGAGAGCUCUCCGAUGAAUGAGGAAGCACAAUGGAAUUCUUCUAUUUGUUUUUUUGUACUCCAAAUUUUGACCUUAAUGUACUUUUUCAGGCCUUAUGUGAUCUUUGCUAUAUUACGAGGCAAAAAUUAUAUGUUCGGACAUUGUUUUUAAAUAUUUUGCGUUUAUCAAAGCUCAUAUAAACAAGAUAGGGUAUUCCUACAUAGCUGGUAGGACCCACGGAAAAUGGAUCAUAAAGUCUUCAAAAAAGAAUAAAUACGAUUGCAUUGCAUGUAGUAACGGAUGCGAUCAUACCAGCAUUAAUGCACGGGAUCCCAUCAGAACUCUGCAGUUAAGCGUGCUUGGGCGAGAGUUGUACUAGGAUGGGUGACCUUCAGGAAAGUCCUCGUGUUGCAUCCCUCUUUUUUUCUCGGUUUUUCUCUUUUUUGUUUUGUUAAAAGUAUAUGACUCUAUAAAUUUUAGACCGUGAGGCCAAACUUGGCAUGUGAUACCUUUUCGGAAAGCCCAAAGAGAGCUCUCCGAUGAAUGAGGAAGCACAAUGGAAUUAUUCUAUUUUUUUUUUUGUACUCCAAAUUU
rnacentral:sRNA from 1 species